UUUGACAUUUAAGGGCCAAAUAGAGAACGACAAAUAAGCAUUGAGAUGACAACAACAACAACAACAAACAACGAUGAUGACAAGACAAACGAGCAAUGUCAAUUCGGUCGAAUGAUUAUUGAUUUUUGUUUUACGAUCGUUUUGACGAUUUUUUUAAUUUCAUUAUUACAAUACAUGGAAUUCGAUACAAUCGAUAUUUAUAAUAAUAAAACAUAAUCAUCUCUAUAUCCAUAUAGAUAGACAGCGAUUAAUUCUCAUUCAUUGAACCAUUGAACAUAAUCAAUCAAUCAAUCAAUCAAAAGAAAUUGAAUAAAUUCAAAAGACACCAUUAUUAUUUGUAUCCGACUGGAAAGAAAAUGAAAAUUAUUAUCAUCGGAUAUUAAUAGAGCUGGAAAACAAAACUGGAUGCCACGCCGGUUCUCGAAACAUAACAUUCGAAAUAAUGGUAGAAAGCAAGCUAGCAAGCAAUGAAUAAACAAACAUCAGAUCCAAUCAUCAUCAUCAUCAUCAUCAUCAUCUGUAUAUCAACCACAUUCACUAUAGUGAAAUUCAAUUGAAAAAAAAAUUCCUGUAUAACUCUUGUCCAAACCAAAACCAACAUUAAUCU